rnacentral:tRNA from 1 species
GGCCUCGUAGCUCAGCUGGUAGAGUUCUCGCGAUACUGUAGCGAGGGUGGUAACCAUGCGUGGGUUCGAAUCCCGCCGGGGCCA